AUUCUAUGGUGGGGGCACUUCUUUUGCAGUUCUUGAAACUCUUCACAUGCCUCAUAGAGUGUAUCACCAUCAUUUUGAGUGAAGUUCUGAAUCUCCCUCUUAAGUAU